CCAUGUUAUUCCCAAGAUGAAAAAUGUUACUACUUAACUCAGUAACACUGUCAAAUGGAGUCGUCCUUACUGUUAGAGAAUUGUACAGCCAUUCUAGAGUAGAGAACCAUUCAUACAUGGAUUGGGAUGCUUGAUCAUGCCAUUGUGCUGGGACAGAAGAUUGAGGAAAUUCAGGAUGGAAAUCAGCAGGCAGAAUGUAAUGCACAGGAAAUUGGAGAACCAGAAUUCUCUGGGCCAGAAAGCAGCGAUCAGAAUGAUGGUACCCUGUAUCGUCAGAUCUUGUGCAUCAUUCAAAUCAGGAGCAGUAAUGGAGGGAAGGCGUAAAUGAAUUGGUCUGUUGAGUGAGUUCAUGAGUACUUUUUGUGUCUUCAGAAAAUAGGCUGCAGAAUGGGUGGCUGAUGUUCCAGUCUGGAGAUGAUCUGCCACUCCAAGCAGUCACUGUUCCCCCUUUUUUGUUGAUGUAAAAAACAGUAGAGGUUUUGUCUGACAUGAUGAGAGCAAAUGAAAAGAAGAAAAGAUCUGCAUGCCUUUUGUGAAAGCAAACCUCAGUCUCCAUCCUGGAAGAAAACAUGGGAAGGGUAUGUAAUUUGUCAUAGGAGCCGUGUCAGGACCAGGGGCUUGAAAUGACUCCACUGCAGAAGAGCGGCUCUGAGAUACAAUGGGUUCCUGAUGGUAGGUGUCGUUCUUCAAGAUGGUGUCCCUGCGGGUGCUCCACUGUGGGUGGUGGGCUUGCCCCGGCGCUGCAGAAUGGAGACUUGUUGGAAGCAGUAUUCGGCCAGGCCGUGCAUGCACCGCUGUGCUUGCGGCUUUCACACUCUUUUCCUGCACGCGGUCCGGCCAACUGCCAGUUCUUCGAGACCGCCUCAGACUCUGUAAGACACAAAGAAAAGCGGACUCCGAAGUGGGGAAGAGGGCGGGUAGUGGAGCACCCGCGGGGACACCAUCUCGAAGAACGACAGUUACUGCACCAAGGUGAGUAACUUCGCUUUCUUCUUCAAGGAUGUCCCUGCGAGUGCUCCACUGUGGGUGACUGCGUAGCAGUAGCCGCCAGAAAGGAAGGAGGGAAGCAUGGAGUCCCUAGUUAUCCUCUGUGGAGAGAACCGCAGUCGCUACCGCACCAUCCGAGCGAGUGCCCAGUGAUAAAGAAUUGUGUCUAGCAAAAGUGUCGUGGGAGGACCAAGUGGCCAUCCUGCAAAUGUCUUUAAGGGAAACCCCUUUAAGGAAGGCUGUCGACACAGCCAUAGCUCUGGUGGAAUGGGCACGUGGGUGGGAUGGGAAUACGUUUUGUUGCAUAGGCUUCUGUUAUGCAGGAGGUUAUUAGGUUGGAGAUCCUUUGGGAGGAUAUCGGUUGUCCUUUUGACCUAGGUGCCAGAGAGACAAACAAACGGUCAGUGCAUCUGAAGGGUCUGGUUCGAGUGAAAUAGAAAGCUAGGGCCCUCCAAGCAUCUAGGGAAUGGAGGACUACUUCUCGUAGUGAGGCAUGGGGUUUUGGGUAGAACACUGGAAGAAUUAUUGGCUCGAUGUGAAAAUGGGAUGCGAUCUUUGGAAUGAACUUCGGGUGUAGUCUUAAUAUUACCCCAUCCUUUCGGAAUAUCGUGUACGGUGGUGUGGCCAUCAAGGAGGAGAGCUCUCCUACUCUGUGUGCUGAUGUUAUUGUGAGUAGAAAAAGCAUCUUUAUGGUUAAAGGUGAAAGGAAAUGGUGGCCAAUGGUUCAAAUGGUGGCCUCAUUAGGGCCUCGAGAACCACAUCAAGGUUCUAUGAUGGUGGGAUUGGGUCUCUUGGUGGACUUAAAUUAGUGAGGCCCUUGAGGAGUCUCUUUGUGGUGGGAUAAGCGAAGAUGGAAGCUCCCUCUACCGGUGAUGUAAAGGCCGAAAUUGCCACCAGGUGUACUCUGAGAGAAGCUAAUACAAGGCUGGUCUCUUUUAGGUGAAUAAGACAGUCCAAUACCAGAGGAAGAGGUGCUACUUCAGGGCGAUGAUGUUUGCAGCACACCAGGAGGCGAACCUGUGCCACUUGUGAAGGUAAGUAUUCCUUGUUGUUGGAUGUCUACUGUGUAUAAGAGCGUGUCUAACCGGUGCCGAACAUUGAGAUUCAGAAGGGUUCAUCCAGUUAGGUACCAUGCUUUGAGAUUCAGAGUGUGAAUCUGGGGAUGUCUCAGCCGUCUCCAGUUCUGAGUGAAGAGGUUGAGGAGGAGCGGGAGGUGGAUGGGUGGGCGUGAGGAUAGGCGAUGAAAAAAGGGGAACCAAUGUUGGUGCGGCCAAUCCAGCACUACAAGGAUGAGUCGCGCCCCGUCCGUCCUCACUUUCUGAAGGAGUCUCGGAAUCAUCGGAAUGGGGGGAAAGGCAUAGAGGAGGGGUCUGCGCCAACUGAUGAGAAAGGCGUCUCCCAGGGAGGCUGGGCCGAGACCCGCUCUGGAGCAUACUUGUGACACUUCGUGUUGUUGAAGGUCACAAACAGAUCUAUGCGAGGGGUACCCCAGCAUUGGAAAAUUGUGUGCAGGACCCGGUCAUGCAGCUCCCACUCAUGCUUCGUGUCGAAGUGCCUGCUGAGGAAAUCUGCAGUCACGUUUGUGGUGCCAGAAGUGCAUGAAAGACAAGGACACUGACGGUUCCAAACUGGAUCACAGAGUGGUAAGAAGGAACUGGAAAUGUGGUUGUUGCAGCGAAUAUGAACUAAUAUGUCUGCCUCGUGUGAAGGAAGAAAGAAAACAAGAUGCAGAGCUUAAUACAAGGCACAUUUUUAAGCAAAAUAUUUUCAUGGAGUUUUUACCUUUAAAAUGGUACUCCUAAGUGAAAAGUUUGAUUAAAUUGGCUUUUUUGAAUGAAAUGGUUAGUUUUCAAUAGUUCUCUCUAUUGUCUCCUUAUAGAAUAAUUACCAUUUGUAAAAAAUGGUGGAACAGUCUACUUAUGCUUUAGCUUAAUUCCUUGCCAGCAAUUACUAAAAUGGAAUCUUAGCUGAGGAAGAAAAAAAAAUCAAUAUUCUGCAGAGACAAGCUUUAUUUGUAGUGCUGAAUUCUGAAAAGAAAAUGUUACAUUUUUGAAUGAAAGAGCUAAUGAAAUUGUAACCAAUUAACAAACGAAUUUAAUAACUUGUAUAUAAAGUUCAAGAAAAAGCCAAAGCCCUCUAUGGAAAAACAGCUAGACAUUCAUUCAUUUUAAUAGUGUGAAAAGUCUGUGGCAUGUACCAAAGAAUCAUCCUUUCAAAAUCAAGUGGAGUAAAAUUUCUACAGUCGAAUUAACAAAAGAUAUAAGACAGGGUUGGGCAAAAGAUGAUCUGCGGGCUGGAUCCAGACCACAACAGUCUCAGCCAACUCCUUGCCUGCCUCACCCCACCGCUCAGCAUUCAGGGUCACGUGUGUGUUUCUGAAUACUGAGGGCCAGUAGGCAGGGGAGACAGGCUUCUCUUGGUGCUCCCUCCCCCAGGAGUUCCUAUUGGCUGGUUUUGGCCAAUAGCAGUGCCUAUUCGCAGGACAGGCAGCAUGUGAAGUGCCCUUCCUCCUUCAGGCUUCAAGCAUUCAGUUCAGAGCAGUAAACAUGGCUCCUGCAGGUCCCCUGAGCACAUACAGGGGCUGGAAGGCAGGGACCCUGGCUAAGGAACCUGCUGGGCUGCUGGCUGGCUGGCAAGUUCUCCCAGCCAGAACCUGUUUCUGGCAUCCCAGCCUCUCCCUCUUUCCAACCCUCUGCUCCCCUACUCCUUGACCAUGUAACCCAAACUUUCUGCACCCCUGCUCCAGCCCUCAAACACCGUCACAAACACUGCAUCUCCUCCUACACCAUUCCUCAGGUUACAACACCCUCCCAGAACUUGCACCCCAAUCUGCUAUCCCUAGUCACAGCCUAAAUCUGUCCCUGGCACAACCCAAAUCCCUGCACCCCCUUCUGCAUUCCGUUCCAUUGCCCCCAGGUCACAAUCUCCUACUUUACCCAAACUCCCUCCCAGGUCUCUCACCCCAAUUCCUUACCCCAACCUCCCUUCUGCAC